GCACACCAGUUGCAAACUAUAGCUACCAACCCCGUCGUUUACCGCAAGGUGGGCGGCGGGUAGAUGGAUAACCCUGGUAAUUUUGCGGCUAAUACAAGAACGCAAACCCUCGCUGACUGGGUAACUGGAAGGCGGGGGGGCGUGCUCUUUAAGUUCCAAGUAUAACCGGGAAAGGGGCCACGUCAUGACCGCGCUAAAAAGGAAAGUUGGUUCACUCCUUCUCUCUAGCGGCUCUUGCUGUUUAGUUGUGACCUAUCAACUAGAUGGCAGCGUAAGGGACAUGCUAUGGU
rnacentral:rRNA from 1 species